rnacentral:rRNA from 1 species
GACGAACCGUGCGAACGUUGUUCGGAAUCACUGGGCUUAAAGGGCGCGUAGGCGGGUUCUCAAGUCAGGGGUGAAAUCUUUCGGCUUAACCGGAAAAGUGCCCCUGAUACUGAGAGUCUCGAGGGAGGUAGGGGCAUGUGGAACUAAUGGUGGAGCGGUGAAAUGCGUAGAUAUCAUUAGGAACGCCGGUGGCGAAAGCGACGUGCUGGACCUCUUCUGACGCUGAGGCGCGAAAGCUAGGGGAGCAAAC